AAAUAAAAAUCGGUGUUGUUGCUGCUUUUCGUGGUGACGCAUCGGAUUUGGGUCGUCUUACCUUCGGUUAAGUGACCUAAAAUUUUGCAUGAUUUUCGAACGUAUUUAAAUAAUUUACGUACGUUUGUAAUAUCGGAUAUUAGGUGUGAUCAUUCUCAUGAUUCGCGCCCAUAAUUUUUCAUCA
rnacentral:misc_RNA from 1 species